rnacentral:lncRNA from 1 species
UUAUCUUCGAAGAAUUUAGCCCAGAAACGAGCUAAAGCUCGAUCAUAAGGGUCUUUAGGUAAGAUUGGAGGGCCUUCAAAUGUCUCAUCGAUGUAUUCGAGAAUCACACUUGACUCACAAAGGGGCUUGCCAUUGUGAAUGAGCACAGGAACUGCCUUGUGAAUUGGAUUAGAUUGAAGAAGUAAAGAGCUCUUAUUUUGUAGAUCAUCUUCUAUAUAUUCAUAUUCUACACCCUUAAUCUUUAGAGCCCAUUCAACUCUUUUACUAAAAGGGCUAUACCAUAAACCAAUCAACUUAACAUUAGACAUCUCUCAAAUUUGGCUAACUAUGUUUUUGCUUUACUAAUUGAGGGAAUUUGUAUGUGGUUGUGAUCUCCCCUUGAGGUCUAGUGCCUUCUUUUAUAUAGGGAAGUUUCUUAGCAAAAUCCAGCAAAUGCAUUGAUGUUUCCAAAGUAUUUUGUUUUGACACUUAAAUAUAUGUUUUGUUUAACAAAUGGCACAUAUAUAAGUCACCAUUUUACACAAUACUUGUCAUCUACUCUCACCGUUGUUAUUUGUAUGUCACCAUUUUAGUUUUCACAUCUCUUAAGAAAUUAAGUAAAUUUAUUAUGUAUUCUUAUUUAAUGUUCUCUUAUAGUCAAUUUUUUAAUAAAUAAACAUAAAUUAAUUUAUUUUAAUUGAUUUAAUUGACCAAUAAACAUGAAGUAAUCAUUUAAUUUAGAUUAGUUUUAUUAAUUCAGUUUGUUGAUGAAAAUGAUAAAUAUGCAUUAUUUAUUACUCCCCUCGUUCCUAUUUAUAUGCUGCUGUUGUUAUUAAAAAUAGAUGAGCUUUCUUAAUAUUUAUUAUUUUAUAAAAUCAAUGCAUAUAUAUAUAUUUCCCUAUAUUAUACACACUAUUUAUGGAGUACUUACUUAAUGGGUGGCAGGUUAACUAAUUAAUGGUGUGGGUAGAGCUGGCCUCAACGAUCAAGUUUUUUUUUUUUUUUUUUUUACGGCUUCAAUGAUAACAUUAAAUUAUUAUCUUUUUAAAAUUUUGUGUCAAGUUAAAAUAAGAUAAAUAAUUUAAUUCGGACAAAAGUAGUGUAUCAAGCUUUCUUUCUCUUAACAAUACUUUUAUUUAUACGUGAAUCCAAAAUUUAUAUUAACUAGUGAAAUAAAGAUAAAUCUUAUAACAUGCAACUUUAAUAUAUUUCAAUUGAAUUUACAAAAACUCAAUUUUUAUUGCCACACAAAAUCUUGAAAUUCACUUGAGGUAUACUCAUUUUGAAGCAUCAACAGGCUGAAUGUAGGCUCGGUAACGGAUAAGCAAUUCAUCUCUUGAAGGAAAAUAUUCCUCGUUUUGUGUGCAAUAUUCAUCUCUCCAAGCACAAAAAUUUGGAAAUUUUUCACUUGUUACCAAAACAACUCCAGAUACUUCUUCAAGAAUUCCCAAAUAAAGUGCUGCACCAUUUGCAACAAUAUCAGCAAAUCCAAAUUUGUCACCAACAAAGCACUUCUUGUCCUUGAACUCAUUAUCAAGAAUUUUCAACAUCUCAUAAGCUUCCUCUUUAGCUUUCUCUUGUUCCUCUCCUUUCGAAAAGAAACUUUUCCACACUGCUGCCCCCUGCCCAACAAACAAAACUUAAUAAGGGUCGUUCACUCGUUUCGAUAGCUGGUUAGAGUUAUACAGAUAUUAAUAAUAUAUCAAUUAGUUAUAAUGGAAUCUAUGCAUAUAAAAUAGUUAUGUAUUUCUAAAUUGCAAAUCAAAUAUCAUAUUAAUUUUAUACACGAAUAAUUUAUCUCCAAAUCAACUAUCAAAUAUGGUAUUCAUUACUUAUCCAGAAUUUAAUAUUCGGAUAACUUAUUUCCUAACCAACUACUAGACAAAUAUGUUAGUUUUGUUGACUAUACGAGAAGUUCGUCUUAGUCGAAUUUUAUAAAAGAUUAUUAAAAAGCAUGAGACCUAAAGUAUAUGUAAUAACAUAACUAAAACAAAAUUUUCAAUCAAUUGGAAUAACUUAAAAGCAAUAUACCUUAUCUUCGACGUAUUUAGCCCAAAAUCGCGCUAAAGCGCGAUCAUAAGGAUCUUUAGGCAAAAUGGAAGGGCCUUCAAAUGCCUCAUCAAUGUAUUCAAGAAUGACCAUAGACUCACAAAUGCACUUGCCAUUGUGAAUUAACACUGGGAUUUUUUUGUGAAUUGGAUUAGAUUGAAGAAGUAAAGGGCUCUUAUUUUGCAAAUCUUCUUCUAUAAAUUCAUAUUUCACUCCCUUAAUUUUUAGAGCCCAUUCAACUCUAUGGCUAAAAGGACUAUAACUUAGACCAAGCAACUUCACUUCUGCCAUGUUACAACUUUAGUUCUCAAUUGUUUUUUUUGCUUAAUUAUGUGUGGUUGGUCUCCCUUGGUGUCUAGUUUUUUUUUUAUAGAGGAAAAAAUAAGGAUACAUUAAAGUUUCUUGUUUGACUAUUCAACUUUUCUAAUAUUAAAAAUUAUAUUUGACUAACUAGACACUUGUUUGAAUAAACUACUAUUCCAUCUAUCCCUAGUUAUUUACCCACUUUUGGAAUGACACACCAAUUAAGAAAAUAAUAAUUGAUAUAACGAGUUUACUAUUUUACCUUUAUUAAUUAUGAAGUGAAUGAAUUGAAAAUUUAAAAUUUAAGAUUUUUAAAGUAAUAAAUUGAGGGUAUAAUAGAGAAAUUUGUUUAUUCUUUUUUUAUUUAUCAAAAUAAAUAAGUAAUUAAGGAUAACUAAAAAAGAAAAAAUGGACAAAUAAUUAGGAACGGAGGAAAGUAAACAUCUUCCAUAUUUUUUAGGAGUGAGUAAUAUUUAAAAUAAUAAAGAUGACUUAUGUGCUCAUGUCACCCACCUUUGGUCAAAUCUGGUGGCUAGAAAAAUCAAUGAUACUUAUAUUUUAAUUUAUUUGUCCUAUUUUUAUUUCUAAUCUGUUUUAAAAAAAGAUAUUUCUUUUUAUUUUUGAUAAUUUUUUAGUUUCAUAUAUUCACUUGACAUGUUUUUUUAGUACAAAGUUAAAAGAUAUAUUUUAAUAUAUUUGACAUAUUUUUAAUUUUAAAAAAAACACAAAAAUUUAAAACUUUUUAAAUGGUUAGAUUUUGGAUAAGCCAAAACAUGACAAUAAAUUAAAAUGAAGGGAGUUUUUAAUAUUCCGAGUCACCUAUUAAUUUUAGCUUUCAUUUUCAAUUUAAUGAGAAAAUUGAUAUAUAUUAAUUAAAUAAUAUACAGUCAUUGACCCACCAAAGGUGAAACUUCUUAGCAAGUGAAUAGCUAAAAUACUUUUCUCUGACAAAUAAUUUUAUUCGAACGGAAUUCAAAUUUUAAAGUAAGUAAAUUUCGAACCAAUACAAAUAAUUUAGUUGAACCUCCAAAAUUCUUCCUGAAUUCAAUUCUAAUAUCAAAUUUCAAUUUGAAAAGUAAAACUAAGCAUGCCAGAUUUGAUAACCUACACGUUGUACGCACCCAAAAUUAAAGGACAUAAAUAUAAAAGGUAUAAUACAUAAAUAUGUCAUUUAACUUGACUUCAGUUGGCAUCAAUAUCCUCUAACUUUGGGUGUGUAUAAAUAGACACUUAAACUUGUAUAAAAUUGAACAAGCAAACACAUGCGUUCUAUGUAACAUAAUAAACGUAAGACACAAAAUUGCCAUGUAGGACACCACGUUAAACAAUACAUAAAUAUGUCAUUUAACUUGACUUCAGUUGGCAUCAAUAUCCUCUAACUUUGGGUGUGUAUAAAUAGACACUUAAACUUGUAUAAAAUUGAACAAAUAGACAUAUUAGUUUAACGUGGUGUCCUACAUGGCAAUUUUGUGUCUUACGUUUAUUAUGUUACAUAGAACGCAUGUGUUUGCUUGUUCAAUUUUAUACAAGUUUAAGUGUCUACUUGUGCACAUUCAAAGUUGGAAGACAUAUAUGACAGUUGAAGCCUAGUUAAAGGGUCAAUUUAUGUAUUAUGCCAAUAUAAAAUGAGGUCAAAUUAAAGAAAAUAUUUAUGUAUUAUGCCUAACUAAAACAUAAUUGUACAUGCCAAUCACAUAUCUUGUCUUUUACGUGGAUAAGCAAAAUUAAAAUUUAACUCGAUAUAAUUUAAAGUUUCGUGCUAAUAGUAUGUUAUAAAAUGAAGCCAAAAAUUAACAAUAUGAAAUACAAUAAAGUAGACAAGAAGAGUAAAUAGACCAGAGAGAAACAACAUGAUUUUCAAUAUCUUUAUUAUAGGGCUACCUAGAAUUCAUCACAUGGUGUCAUGAAUAUAGAAUUAAUAAUUGAAAACAAGAGGAAGAUCGGGGGAGAAGUGCAGUAGCGGAGUCAGAAAUUUCACAAAGGGUAUUCAAAAACUGCAUAAGUAAUUUUUUUUAUUUUUUUUACAAAUAAGUGCACUAAAAAUUUUAAUUUUCUCAUAUUGAUUUGGGCUGACUUCAAAGAUCAAGUCCUUUCUGACAGCUUUAAUUAUAAGAUUCAAAAUUCUUCUUUAUAUCUUUUGAAUUUUGUAAAGACCCUUAUUUUGAAGCAGCAACACGUUGAAUGUAAGCUUGGUAAUGGGCAAACAAUUCAUCUCUUGGAGGUAAAUAUUCCUUGUUUUGAAUGUAGUAUUCAUCUCUCCAAACACAAAAAUUAGGGAAUUUUUCUUUUGUCACCAAAACAACUCCAGUUACUUCUUCAAAAACUCCAAACCAAAGUGCUACAGCAUUUGCAACAAUAUCAACAAAUCCAAAUUUGUCACCAACAAAGAACUUCUUGUCCUUUAACUCAUUAUCAAGAAUUUUCAACAUCUCAUAAACUUCCUCUUUAGCUUUCUCUUGUUCCUCUCCUUUGAGAAAUAAACUUUUCAUCAUUGAUGGCCCCUACAUAACAAUUGGAACUUAAAUUUCAACAAUUCUUUUUGUAUAAUGGUAAAGAUAGGAAUAUACAACAAUAGAAGUACAUUAGUUGACUAUAUGAUAUUUUAUUACUUAAUUUAUGUUCAUCUUAGUCCGAUUUUAAAAAGUAAUACAUAAACAUACAUUGGUUGUAUCUGAUAAUAAGCACUUUAACUUUGAUAUGUAUAGACAACUAAUGUGUCUCUUAUACACCCUAUACCGACAUGACACACAAAUUUUGAAGGUGUCUAGAUCAUGAUCAUAUUAUAAGUUAGAAAGUUCAAUUAACAGAGUAGAGACGAGUUAAGGUGCCUAUAUUUAGUUGAAGUGCUUAUUUACAAGUUGAAGGCCAUAUACCUUAUCUUCGAAGAAUUUAUCCCAAAAACGAACUAAAGCUCGAUCAUAAGGGUCUUUAGGCAAGAUGGAAGGGCCUUCAAAUGUCUCAUCAAUGUAUUCAACAAUCACACUUGACUCACAAAUGGACUUGCCAUUAUGAAUGAGCACAGGAACUUUCUUGUGAAUUGGAUUGGAUUGAAGAAGUAAAAGGCUCUUAUUUUGUAGAUCAUCUUCUAUAUAUUCAUAUUCCACACCCUUAAUCUUUAGAGCCCAUUCAACUCUUUUACUAAAAGGGC